UACGGGGGGGGCAAGCGUUGUUCGGAAUUACUGGGCGUAAAGGGUCCGUAGGUGGCUCGCUAAGUCAGACGUGAAAUCCCUCAGCUUAACUGGGGAACUGCGUCUGAUACUGGAUGGCUUGGAUUUGGGAGAGGGAUGCGGAAUUCCAGGUGUAGCGGUGAAAUGCGUAGAGAUGUGGAGGAACACCAGUGGCGAAGGCGACUCUUUGGCCUGUAACUGACGCUGAGGCGCGAAAGCGUGGGGAGCAAACAGG
rnacentral:rRNA from 1 species